rnacentral:rRNA from 1 species
GGGAAACUCACCAGGUCAGGACACGGUAAGGAUUGACGGACUGAAGGCUCUUUCUCGAUUCCGUGGAAAGUGGUGCAUGGCCGUUUUGGUUGGUGGAUCGAUCCGUCUGGUUAAUUCCGUUAACGAACGAGACCUCGGCACUCCGAAUAGCGCGGCGGACGUCGCGGCCUCCGGGCCGUCUUCCGCACGAGCUUCUUAGAGGGACCGUCCCCCGCCGGGGAAGGAGGUGCGAGGCAACGACAGGUCUGUGAUGCCCUUAGAUGUUCUGGGGCCGCACGCGCAUUACACUGACGCGUCCAACGGGUGACUCCCGACCCGAAGGGGCCGGGGAAUCCGCAAGGCGCGUCGUGAUGGGGAUUGAACGUUGCAAUUGUUGUUCACGAACGAGGAAUUCCUAGUAGGCGCGGGUCAUCAACCCGCGCCGAUUACGUCCCUGCCCUUUGUACACACCG